GUUUGGUAGCCAAGGAUGACUUGCCUGCAACUUCAUUGGAAGAGAAUUUUUAUAUAUAGAGGCAGAAAAGUCUUGUUUUAUUUGUUGUAGUAGGUGGUCUCCUUGGCUAAUCUGAC
rnacentral:pre_miRNA from 1 species